rnacentral:rRNA from 1 species
UGGGGAAUAUUGCACAAUGGAGGGAACUCUGAUGCAGCAACGCCGCGUGCGGGAUGACGGCCUUCGGGUUGUAAACCGCUUUCAGCCAUGACGAAGCUUUUGUGACGGUAGUGGUAGAAGAAGCACCGGCUAACUACGUGCCAGAAGCCGCGGUGAUACGUAGGGUGCGAGCGUUUUCCGGAAUUAUUGGGCGUAAAGAGCUUGUAGGCGGUUUGUCGCGUCGAUAGUGUCAACACGCAGCUUAACUGUGUGCCUGCUGUCGAUACGUGCUGACUAGAGGAGGGUAGGGGAGAAUGGAAUUCCCGGUGGAGCGGUGGAAUGCGCAGAUAUCGGGAGGAACACCAGUGGCGAAGGCGGUUCUCUGGACCUUUCCUGACGCUGAGAAGCGAAAGCGUGGGUAGCAAACAGG